UUUCCGUAGGUGAACCUGCGGAAGGAUCAUUAUCGUACAAAAUGUGAGGGGCAUGCGAGGGCUGUCGCUGACCGAAAAGUCGUGCACGCCCGAGUGUGUCCUCUUGCAUAAUAAUCCAUCUCACCCUUUGUGCAUCACCGCGUGGGCACCCUUCGGGAUCAUCUCGGAGGGGGGCUCGCGUUUUCACACAAACCCCCCUUUUAAAAGUGUAGAAUGACCACAUUUAUGCAAUCAAUACAACUUUCAACAACGGAUCUCUUGGCUCUC
rnacentral:misc_RNA from 1 species